AUUGAACGCUGGCGGCAGGCCUAACACAUGCAAGUCGGACGAGUGGCGGACGGGUGAGUAAUGUCUGGGAAACUGCCUGAUGGAGGGGGAUAACUACUGGAAACGGUAGCUAAUACCGCCUCCACUCAGAUGAGCCCAAAUGGGAUUAGCUUGUUGGUGGGGAAACGGCUCACCAAGGCGACGAUCCCUAGCUGGUCUGAGAGGAGGACCAGCCAAAAUGGGACGUAGACACGGCCCAGAGUCCUACGGGAGGCAGCAGUGGGGAAUAUUGCACAAUGGGCGCAAGCCUGAUGCAGCCAUGCCGCGUGUAUGAAGAAGGCCUUCGGGUUGUAAAGUACUUUCAGUCGGGAGGCGUUACCGGCAGAAGAAGCACCGGCUAACUCCGUGCCAGCAGCCGCGGUAAUAC
rnacentral:rRNA from 1 species